rnacentral:rRNA from 1 species
AAGGUGUGACGCAUACCGAACUAAAGUAGGGAAAUGUGUGAGCCGGCUGCCGAGAAAAGCCGCUAUUGUUUGUACUGUACCCGUACCGUAAACCGACACAGGUGGAUGAGGAGAGAAUCCUAAGGCCGACGGAAGAAGCAUUGCUAAGGAACUCGGCAAAAUGACCCUGUAACUUCGGGAGAAAGGGUGCCUCGAAAGAGGCCGCAGAGAAUAGGCCCAAGCAACUGUUUAGCAAAAACACAGGUCUAUGCAAAACCGCAAGGUGAAGUAUAUGGGCUGACGCCUGCCCGGUGCUGGAAGGUUAAGGGGAGAUGUCAGGAGACGAAGCAUCGAACUUAAGCCCCAGUAAACGGCGGCCGUAACGAUAACGGUCCUAAGGUAGCGAAAUUCCUUGUCGGGUAAGUUCCGACCCGCACGAAAGGCGUAAUGAUUUGGGCGCUGUCUCGGCAAUGCAUCCGGUGAAAUUGAAGUGCCAGUGAAGAUGCUGGCUACCCGCGCCAGGACGGAAAGACCCCAUGGAGCUUUACUCCAGCUUGAUACUGGGAUUCGGUAUUGUAUGUACAGGAUAGGUGGGAGGCUGAGAAAUGGUGACGCCAGUCGCCAUGGAGCCGCUGUUGGGAUACCACCCUUGCAGUACUGGAUUUCUAACCAGCAGCCGUGAUCCGGCUGGGGGACAAUGUCAGGUGGGGAGUUUGACUGGGGCGGUCGCCUCCGAAAGGGUAUCGGAGGCGCUCAAAGGUUCCCUCAGAAUGGUCGGAAACCAUUCGAAGAGUGCAAAGGCAGAAGGGAGCUUGACUGCGACACCGACGGGUGGGGCAGGUACGAAAGUAGGACUUAGUGAUCCGGUGGUAUUAAGUGGGAAUGCCAUCGCUCAACGGAUAAAAGCUACCCUGGGAUAACAGGCUUAUCACUCCCAAGAGUUCACAUCGACGGAGUGGUUUGGCACCUCGAAGUCGGCUCAUCGCAUCCUGGGGCUGUAGUAGGUCCCAAGGGUUGGGCUGUUCGCCCAUUAAAGCGGUACGCGAGCUGGGUUCAGAACGUCGUGAGACAGUUCGGUCCCUAUCCGGCGUGGGCGUAGGAUAUCUGAGAGGAGCUGACCUUAGUACGAGAGGACCGGGUUGGACUGACCUCUGGUGCACCGGUUGUCAUGCCAAUGGCACAGCCGGGUAGCCAAGUCGGGAAGGGAUAAACGCUGAAGGCAUCUAAGCGUGAAGCCCCCCUCAAGAUGAGAUAUCCCCCGCAUAAGCGGUAAGACCCCUUGAAGACGACGAGGUAGAUAGGGCAGAGGUGGAAGUGCAGUAAUGUAUGGAGCUGACUGCUACUAAUAGGUCGAAGGCUU